GUCCAUAUGGCGGAAUUGGCAGACGCGCAUGAUUUAGGCUCAUGUGCUGAAAGGCGUGAGAGUUCAAGUCUCUCUAUGGACACUA
rnacentral:tRNA from 1 species